ACUCUUGUUGCCCAGGCUGGAGUGCAAUGGCACAAUCUUGGCUCACUGCAACCAAGAGAAGAGGGGGAAAGAAAGGAGAAGGGGUGGAAGGAAGAUGGAAGAGCAGGAGCAGCUCCAAGAAAACUUUCCGCUUUGCCACCUGGAAUGUCCACCCAGGAUAAAAAGAUCCAAGCUCUUCUGAGACUGUCUUUUGACCUUCUAGAAUGCAGAGACAGGACGGGGAUUGUGCCCUGAAAGAUC
rnacentral:lncRNA from 1 species